AUGAUCUCCAUGACAAGUGGGUCCCAGCAGAAAGAAGAAUGUCUUCACCUCACUGGCUCUCCAAUGAUGCCAUCAACACUUGCUUCUUUAAGUUGCCUGACAACGUGGCCUAGAAGCACUGUCUCCCUGGGAACUGCCAGCUCCGAGGUAAGGAUUGGGUGCUCUGGAGGGCAUAGAGGGCACUCCCUGUCUCUGUGCCUGGCAGCCUGGCUCAGUGUGGGUUCUGGAGCCCAACUCCUCACUUCAAAUUCUGGCUCCAUUAUUUACAACUCAUGUGCCCAUGAGCAAGUUAUUCAGCCCCUCCGUGCCUCCGUUUCCUCAUCUGUAAGAUUGGGCUAAUACUAUCUUCAUAUGGUUAGUGAGGGUGUAAUAAAAUGAUGCACAUAAAAUGCUUAGAACA
rnacentral:lncRNA from 1 species